AUUGAACGCUGGCGGCAGGCCUAACACACGCAAGUCGAGCGGAUGACGGGAGCUUGCUCCUUGAUUCAGCGGCGGACGGGUGAGUAAAGCCUAGGAAUCUGCCUGGUAGUGGGGGACAACGUUUCGAAAGGAACGCUAAUACCGCAUACGACCUACGGGAGAAAGCAGGGGAGCUUCGGGCCUUGCGCUAUCAGAUGAGCCUGGGUCGGAGUAGCUUGUUGGUGAGGUAAUGGCUAACCAAGGCGACGAUCCGUAACUGGUCUGAGAGGAUGAGCAGUCACAAUGGAACUGAGACACGGUCCAGACUCCUACGGGAGGCAGCAGUGGGGAAGAUUGGACAAUGGGCGAAAGCCUGAUCCAGCCAUGCCGCGUGUGUGAAGAAGGUCUUCGGAUUGUAAAGCACUUUAAGUUGGGAGGAAGGGUUGUAGAUUAAUACUCUGCAAUUUUGACGUUACCGACAGAAUAAGCACCGGCUAACUCUGUGCCAGCCGCCGCCGUAACAC
rnacentral:rRNA from 1 species